UUCACCGUCCCUUCAGUUCCACAGAGGCCUUCGAAGUUCGAAACCGUCCCUGCGUUUUGACUGCAACCCUCCCCCUUCCUUGCCUCUUCCAAACCCUUCUCUAGAAGAGGCCAUAACACGACGCGUCAAGAUAGGGUCUAGGGAUUCCCUCUCUCGCUUCUGAAUCAGCUUUACUUUUUCGGGAUUCGCAGAUUUCUCUCAUAAACCAGCCAAAGCAACGCUCGCGAUUCUUUCAUCUCAUUCCAGCUGGUAUUUUCUUGGAAAAUAUAUUCAUCUCUUGACCUGUUUGAGAAGGAGAAAAAGAGAGGUCAACAGAAAAGAAUCCUUCGACGUUGGGCAUCUUCAUCCCUCGUUUUCCUCCAUUACCCUACAUCAAAGCCAUGGCUGAAGAAUCAGGUAUGUUUAUGGUUCCCCAAACAGUUGGAAGCGUUCUUUGUUGCAGAUGCGGCAUUCCAAUGGCACCAAAUGCUGCCAAUAUGUGUGUCAAGUGUUUGCGCUCUGAAGUUGACAUCACAGAAGGUCUUCAGAAGCAUGUAAUCAUAAUCCAUUGCCCUGAGUGUGACAGCUACUUGCAGCCACCGAGAACUUGGCUCAAAGCCCAAUUGGAAUCGAAGGAACUGUUGACAUUCUGUGUAAAGAGGCUGAAGAAUUUGAAUAAAGUAAGAUUGGUGCAUGCAGAGUUCAUUUGGACUGAACCCCAUUCCAAGAGGAUCAAGGUCAGAUUGAAAGUUCAGAAAGAGGUUCUUAACGGAGCAAUACUUGAACAAUCGUAUGUGGUCGAGUAUGUUCAGCAAGAACAUAUGUGUGAAUCCUGUUCAAGGAUUCAGGCCAAUCCAGACCAGUGGGUUGCAGCCGUGCAACUGCGCCAACAUGUUUCUCACAGGCGUACUUUCUUUUACUUGGAGCAGCUGAUUCUGAAGCACAAUGCUGCUGCCUCUGCCAUAAAGAUCAAGCAGAUGGAUCAAGGGAUUGACUUCUUUUUCUCGAACCGGAGUCAUGGUGUGAAGUUUGUGGAGUUCGUUGGUAAAGUUGCUCCAGUGAGGAGUCGCAAUGACAAACAGCUUGUUUCCCAUGAUACUAAGAGCAAUAACUACAAUUACAAGUACACUUUCUCCGUUGAAAUCUGUCCGAUAUGUCGUGAGGAUUUGAUCUGUUUGCCUCCAAAGGUUGCAGCUAGUUUGGGAAAUCUAGGUCCUCUUGUGAUUUGCACCAAAGUCACCAACAGCAUUGCUUUGCUUGACCCUUUCACCUUAAGGAUCAGUUUCUUGGAUGCUGAUCAGUAUUGGAGGGUGCCAUUCAAAUCUCUAUCCACUAGCAGGCAGCUAGUGGAGUAUAUAGUGUUAGAUGUGGAGAUUGUUUCUUCUGAAGUUAACGUUGGUGGCUCCAAAUAUUGCUUAGCUGAUGCACAAGUGGCUCGUGUAUCAGAUUUCGGGAAAAAUGAUACAAUUUUCUCCAUCAGAACGCAUCUGGGCCAUCUUUUGAACCCUGGGGAUUAUGCGCUUGGUUACGACUUAUAUGGAGCUAACAGUAAUGAUGGUGAGCUAGAGAAGCACAAGGGUCUGAUCCUCCCAGAGGCAAUUCUGAUAAAGAAGAGCUACGAAGAGAAGCGCCAGAAGAAGCGUGGGAAGCCUCGUGCAUGGAAGCUUAAAUCCCUUGACAUGGAAGUUGAUGAUAGGAAGGGAAGAGCUGAGCAAGAGAAGAUGAACACCGAGUAUGAACAGUUCUUGAAAGAUCUGGAGGAGAACCCUGAAAUGAGGUUUAAUAUGUCAUUGUACCGUAAUAAAGAUUACCAGCCAUCAGAGAUGACGUCUGUGGCUGAUGGAGAUGACUUGCCUUCUGUUCCACUGGAAGAGUUGCUUGCUGAUCUCGAACUAAGUGAAGAGGAGGAAGGUGGGAGUGAUAGCAUGAUGGAGUGAUGAGAAGCUUUUGCUCUUAAAAUUUAUUUUCCUUCCUCAACUUCUAUCGUAUAGGUCAAUUCAUCCAUAUUUCUCAAGGAACCAUAGAAAGAUCGUAUCAUAUCUUAUUGUCUACCUGCACUAAGACUGUUCAUCCAAGCGGGUUUUUUCUUGAUCUGGUAUGGAACCCGGAUAAUCAGAUUCUGGAUGCGGUUUCUGGCCUGGGUUAUACCCGGGCCUAAAACCGGAUCACCCUACACAAAAACCUUGUACUUGGGUUUUUUAAAAAAAUUGAUCCUAGUAUCAAAAUGACAUCGUUUUAGGCUGAGAGUUAAAAUCACUUACCCCGUUCGAUCUCUCAACUCUCAACCUCAAAAUCUCUCUCUCUCUCUCUCACUGAAACCCUAGCCUCCUGGCACUCUUCUUUUGCCGAUCACUCUAUUGCUCCGUCGUCGGCUUCAAGAACCCAAGGUUAGUUUUUCUCCAUCUCUCUCUCUCUCUCUCUUUGAUCUUUUAUAACUGAUGAAUUCUUGUAACUCUGCCAAUCGAAGCUCCGUUGCCUUGUCUCUGUUGUCUUCAUCACUCUGUGUCGCUCUGUUGUCGAUGUCAAUAACCCAAGAGCCAGCUCUACUUUCUUCGCUGAGACCCCUGAGUGAGCUCAAUCUGCUGUGGUUAAGCUCCAAAAGGUCUACAAGAGUUACAUUACUUGAAGCAACCUUGCAGAUUGUGCAGUGGUUGUGGAGGAGCUAUGUUUAGUUUCUCUCAGCGUUAUCUAAACAUGUGAAUUCUUUUAUGUUCUUUAGUUCUGAAUUUUGAGAACUUGAUUCGAUGAGUAGGAGGAAAGCAUUGGACUUUGCUGCUCUAAAGCAGGGUUCUGUGUCAUCCUUCGAUGUUGAGAAACUAGAAACCAUUGUUUCAAGGUGGGUGAGGGCAAAGAAUACAGCAGCCAAGGUGCUUGUACACCAUAAGAAUUCCAAGCUUCUGCAUAACGUGAUUUUAUAUCUUCUUGAUCUGCUGGAGAAUUAUUUCGAUAUUGAUUAAGAAGAAUUACUAACAGAAAAAUUAAGAAGGCUAAGAAAUCAAGAGAUUCCAAGUAUGAGAAGGCUCAAAAACUGGCGCUGCAAUAGUGGGUUAAUGGUUCCCACUUCAAGAUCAAGGCCAUUGGCUUUCCUGCAAGACCAUGGACAUGGAGCAGCCUGGCCUUCAACAUAGCUUGAGAAGCGGUAGUGCUGAAAUGUCUAAACCUUGUGUGAAGCUGGGAAUGGGAAUUUAAAGAAAACUGAGAAGAUUGGUGGUUAAACAUAAAGGGUACGGGUGGGAGGUUGAAAUAAAACAUGAUGAUGUAUGGUUUAUGCCAUUAGUUACUGUGGAUUACAGUUGGAGAUGUGGGCUGAUGCCGGUGGUAACCUGGAUGCUUACUGCUGCUUCGGCCAUUGCUGGCAUUCUAUUUCUUCAAGCUGUAUGCUGCUUUGAUGCUUGCCGCUGUUCCUUAUGUUUGCUGCCUGGAUAUUUGUUGCUGCUGUUGUAGCUAGCAAUAUUGUCAUGCUAUUCAUUUCUAUGGAGCCGUGGGGUACUUCAUUGUUAUUAAUAGAAUAUUUUGUAUUUUGUAAUGUAAUGUAUAUAUAUCAAACAAUGUAUUAUGUAGUGGAUUGUAUUGUAGUGCAUGCAUUUUACAUGAUGAAUAUAGGAUUUUUCUUUUGUUUUA